ACAGGAAGUGCACUAGGACUGAAUGAGAGUGCUCCCACACCUUGGUGCACCUAGUGCACUUGGCAAGCAAGCAAUUGGGUUUCAACCCGAGUUAGAAAUCAUGAGAAAGUGAUGAGUAAGCCGGCACACGUCACACAUUCACAAGGAAAGGACAAGAUGUACAUGAGGAGUUCCCAGCUCCAGGAUGCCUGCUGAGAGGAGACGCAGGAAGCAUGGACACGUUCACGGUCUUUCCACAUGCAUGAUCUUUUCCACAUUUCAUCAUCAUCAUCCUCAAUGUACCUGUGAUCAACAUUUGCAUAUGCUGUGCAUUU